rnacentral:lncRNA from 1 species
GCAAGUCCUGCGUGACCUACAAAGAGACAAUGUCUUAUUUUCAUGCCAAAAUAGGUUCCUUUGAUCACCUCGCUACAAUAUAAACUAUGCAGUUUAUUUAUUCUUGUUCUUGUUGUUUGUUUCUUUGUUUUCUUUUAACUCCUGGCCAUGUAAGAUUGGUGAAUACUGAAGAGUACCUUUUGUUUUUUGAAAUACAUAAUUCAUAGCAAUUUGAAGCUCAUGAGGAAUCUUGCAUCAUUUCCCUAAUUAUUUGCCUUACAAUUUCCUAUUUUUCUGUUCUAAUACCACUUAUACAAAUUUUAAAAGCAUAAAAUGUAUAUUUUUACAUAUACAUACAUGACUGGAAAAAAUAAUAAAAAUUUGAAACAGAAGCGUCUUGAUUUAAGGUCUUAAAUACAUUUGUGAAGAAAUUUGAUAAGACUAGGAUUUGACUAGGUAGGAAAAGCCUUCACCUUCCCCUGGAGAUUGUUACUUUCCAUGGUUAUUUCAUGACAUUGGAUGAUCCUACCUUGAGAUCGUCCUGCUUAAUUGUUGUCUCUUUGUUUUCUUUCAACAUUCCCCCUCAAUUUUAACAAGUUUCCUGUGAACAUCCAUUUUGAAGCUCAUGGUAGUUCUGGCUCUGCCUUGGGGUUCUCACAGGUUUGCUCAGGGGAUGAUCCGACGAGAACAAGUAUAGGCUUUUCACGGUUGCCUCCUCUCUGUGCAGGUUCUUGGGAGAACAGUCCAGCAGAAUCAGUUAUCAAGUAAAAGUCACAACCAUAAGUUCAAUGCCACUGAUUCAUGCAACAGGUAGAACUAUCACAAGUCCCAUCAUCAUCUCCUCCUCUUCUGUGCUUCCUGACAGGACACAGGCAGGUUACUGAGUAGAUGGAUUGACCAGAGCUUCCUAUAAUACCAAGGAAAGUUUCACGGAGAACAUCUGGAAUUAAGUCAACUUGAGUGGAUUGAAGGAUGCAAAGUAUUUUUCCUGGGUGUGUCUGUCAGGGCGUUGCCAAAGGAGAUCAACAUUUGAGUCAGUGGCCCGGAAGAGGCAGACCCACCCUCUAUCUGGGUAGGCACCAUCUAAUCAGUUGCCAGUGUGGCUGGAAUAAAGCAGGCAGAAGAACAUGGAAGGACUUGACUUGCUGUCUUCUGGCCUUCAUCUUUCUCCUGUGGUGGAUGCUUCCUGCCCUUGAACCUUAGACUCCAGGUUCUUCAGCUUUUGGACUCUUGGACUUACACCAGUAAUUUGCCAGGGGCUGUCUCUCUAGCAUCCUUGCUCCUCAGCUUGCAGACAGCCUAUUGUGGGACUUCAAUUUGUGAUUGCAUGAGUCAAUACUUCUUAAUAAAUUCUCCUCCAUAUAUACAUCUGUCCUGUUUUUUCUGUUCCUUUAGAGAACCCUAAUUAAUACAGAUUUAUUCUCUUCCAGAUUCUUUUUAGAAAAAUUACAGAGAAUAUUGGAUUAUCCUUCUCUCCCACAUAUAACUCUCUCAGCCUCCA